rnacentral:lncRNA from 1 species
CAAAACGACGUCGUUUUGAGGCCAGGUCAAUUAAAAAAAAUUUGACUGAGCCUUGACCAAACGACGUCGUUUGGCAAGGCUGGUUUUAAAAAAAAUUAGAACCCGCGCGCGCUGCGCUCAAGGCGCAGGCUCAGCACAGCAACUCCAGCUCGUCUUGUGGGACUUCCGUCGAGCACUUGGUGUGCGUACAAGGGGGCUUCCAGCAGCUGUCCAAGGGGGCUUUCAUGGAGUCCCUUCCCAAAUUUCCAGCCUUCCAAGGGGUCGUCCGACCCCUCUUGUCCCAACGUGCA